AGAGUUUGAUCAUGGCUCAGGAUGAACGCUGGCGGUAUGCCUAACACAUGCAAGUCGAACGAUGUCUUAGGACAUAGUGGCGGACGGGUGAGUAACGCGUGAGAAUCUGCCUCUAGGAUGGGGAUAACGGUUGGAAACGACCGCUAACACCCAAUAUGCCGUAAGGUGAAAAAUUUAUUGCCUGGAGAGGAGCUCGCGUCUGAUUAGCUAGUUGGUGGGGUAAGAGCUCACCAAGGCCUCGAUCAGUAGCUGGUCUGAGAGGAUGAGCAGCCACACUGGGACUGAGACACGGCCCAGACUCCUACGGGAGGCAGCAGUGGGGAAUUUUCCGCAAUGGGCGAAAGCCUGACGGAGCAAUACCGCGUGAGGGAGGAAUGCCUUUGGGUUGUAAACCUCUUUUCUCAGGGAAGAAGAUCUGACGGUACCUGAGGAAUAAGUAUCGGCUAACUCCGUGCCAGCAGCCGCGGUAAUACGGAGGAUGCAAGCGUUAUCCGGAAUCAUUGGGCGUAAAGCGUCCGCAGGUGGUUUCCAAAGUCUGCUGUUAAAGACUGGAGCUCAACUCCGGAACGGCGGUGGAAACUUGGAAACUAGAGUUCGGUAGGGGUAGCAGGAAUUCCCAGUGUAGCGGUGAAAUGCGUAGAUAUUGGGAAGAACAUCGGUGGCGAAGG
rnacentral:rRNA from 1 species